UUUUAUGCAGAGUUUGAUCCUGGCUCAGAACGAACGCUGGCGGCAUGGAUUAGGCAUGCAAGUCGAAC
rnacentral:rRNA from 1 species